rnacentral:misc_RNA from 1 species
UCGCCGAUGAUAAUCGGCGCAGUCUGUCUAGAGGCCCCGGCAUUGCUACCGGGUAACUAAACACAGGGGUUGCGCUCGUUGCGGCACUUAAGCCAACAUCUCACGACACGAGCUGACGACAACCAUGCAGCACCUGUCUAUCCCCAGCACCCUUUCGGGCCGUCGAUGGCUUUCACCACCUUUCACGAUAGAUGUCAAGGCCAGGUAAGGUUCUUCGCGUUGCAUCGAAUUAAGCCACAUGCUCCACCGCUUGUGCGGGCCCCCGUCAAUUUCUUUGAGUUUUAAUCUUGCGACCGUACUCCCCAGGCGGUUCACUUAUCGCGUUAGCUUCGGCACGCAGGGGGUCGACUCCCCGCACACCAAGUGAACACCGUUUAGGGCCAGGACUA